rnacentral:rRNA from 1 species
UACGGGGGGGGCAAGCGUUGUUCGGAAUUACUGGGCGUAAAGGGCGCGUAGGCGGCCUGCUAAGUCGGACGUGAAAUCCCUCGGCUCAACCGGGGAACUGCGUCCGAUACUGGCAGGCUUGAAUCCGGGAGAGGGAUGUGGAAUUUCAGGUGUAGCGGUGAAAUGCGUAGAUAUCUGGAGGAACACCGGUGGCGAAGGCGGCAUCCUGGACCGGUAUUGACGCUGAGGCGCGAAAGCCAGGGGAGCAAACGGG